rnacentral:rRNA from 1 species
GAUGAACGCUGGCGGCGUGCCUAAUACAUGCAAGUCGAGCGAACAGACGAGGAGCUUGCUCCUCUGACGUUAGCGGCGGACGGGUGAGUAACACGUGGAUAACCUACCUAUAAGACUGGGAUCACUUCGGGAAACCGGAGCUUAUACCGGAUAAUAUAUUGAACCGCAUGGUUCAAUAGUGAAAGACGGUUUUGCUGUCACUUAUAGAUGGAUCCGCGCUGCAUUAGCUAGUUGGUAAGGUAACGGCUUACCAAGGCAACGAUGCGUAGCCGACCGGAGAGGGUGAUCGGCCACACUGGAACUGAGACAGGGUCCAGACUCCUACGGGAGGCAGCAGUAGGGAAUCUUCCGCAAUGGGCGAAAGCCUGACGGAGCAGCGCCGCGUGAGUGAUGAAGGUCUUCGGAUCGUAAAACUCUGUUAUUAGGGAAGAACAAAUGUGUAAGUAACUAUGCACGUCUUGACGGUACCUAAUCAGAAAGCCACGGCUAACUACGUG